GGGCGGGCUUGAGUGCGGUAGGGGUGACUGGAAUUCCUGGUGUAGCGGUGGAAUGCGCAGAUAUCAGGAGGAACACCGAUGGCGAAGGCAGGUCACUGGGCCGUUACUGACACUGAGGAGCGAAAGCGUGGGGAGCGAACAGGAUUAGAUACCCUGGUAGUCCACGCUGUAAACGUUGGGAACUAGGUGUGGGGAUGCUAUCCUGUGUUUCUGCGCCGUAGCUAACGCAUUAAGUUCCCCGCCUGGGGAGUACGGUCGCAAGGCUAAAACUCAAAGGAAUUGACGGGGGCCCGCACGAAGACGGCGGAGCAUGCGGAUUAAUUCGAUGCAACG
rnacentral:rRNA from 1 species